GGUUAGCAUAUUGCUUUCCUCUGGAUAUGGGUUUCUGUCUUCAAACCAAAUCUUACCUCUCUGUAAGGCUGGACUCUACCACCUCAGACCAUCUUUCCCAGCCUAACUGCUGGCUGGAGAGCCUGUUUACUUGGUGCAGUCAUAGCCUUUGGAAUAUCUUCACUACCUUGUUUAUUUAGUUAUUUCAACAAAUAUUUAUUGAUCACCUACCAAGUAUUAGACACACAUUGGGCUAAAUACCAGAGACUUUGAGCUGGCAAAGGCAAGGUCGUUGUCCCCAAAUAAUUUACUUCCCAUGAGGAGUAUACAGUCAAAUUAGGAGAUAAGUGCAAAUAAGGCAAAAGUACAAUGCUGGAGACAGGCACAGAAAGGGUGAGGGCUGAGGGGUGGUGCUUUACUGCUUCAGGGAUGGAAAGCAGGCAUCUAGAAGACCUGAUGCCCCAAGUCUUAAGUUGGGCAAGGGUUUUCUAUAGAGCAGGAAGGAGAAGAGGGCAUUCCAGGAGAGUAUAUAACAUGACCAAAUGAGGAAGGUGAGAUAUCACAUGAUACACACAGUGACAGGUAUCAUUUAUUAUUGGCUGAAAGAAAAAUUUAUAGGAGCAGUAAUGAUGGCAGAAAAUCCGGGCAUUAACUCGUAGAUGACAGAAGGCCAUACACCCCGCCCAGGUCAUACCCAUACCACUCCAUCUCCUCCUAAGUUCAGGACAAGCAAUAUCAAGUAACCCCAGCACUCUUUCCUGCUGAGUUUGUUCUCAGCCUCAAAACCUUUGGGAACAUAUACUUCCAGGCAGACACUAAUAAUUGGUCAGACUCAGCAUGUAAAGCAAUUUUUUUUCACCAUUUACCAUAAUAGAGUUCAUUUAUCAUCUGUAAGAAAUG
rnacentral:lncRNA from 1 species